rnacentral:rRNA from 1 species
AACGAACGCUGGCGGCAGGCUUAACACAUGCAAGUCGAACGCCCCGCAAGGGGAGUGGCAGACGGGUGAGUAACGCGUGGGAAUCUACCCAGUUCUACGGAACAACUGAGGGAAACUUCAGCUAAUACCGUAUACGCCCUACGGGGGAAAGAUUUAUCGGAAUUGGAUGAGCCCGCGUUGGAUUAGCUAGUUGGUGAGGUAACGGCUCACCAAGGCGACGAUCCAUAGCUGGUCUGAGAGGAUGAUCAGCCACACUGGGACUGAGACACGGCCCAGACUCCUACGGGAGGCAGCAGUGGGGAAUAUUGGACAAUGGGCGAAAGCCUGAUCCAGCCAUGCCGCGUGAGUGAUGAAGGCCUUAGGGUUGUAAAGCUCUUUCAGUGGGGAAGAUAAUGACGGUACCCACAGAAGAAGCCCCGGCUAACUUCGUGCCAGCAGCCGCCGUAACAC